rnacentral:rRNA from 1 species
AAACGACUCUCGGCAACGGAUAUCUCGGCUCACGCAUCGAUGAAGAACGUAGCAAAAUGCGAUACUUGGUGUGAAUUGCAGAAUCCCGUGAACCAUCGAGUUUUUGAACGCAAGUUGCGCCCGACGCCAUUCGGCUGAGGGCACGCCUGCCUGGGCGUCACG